UAAUAUGAUGAGUUAUCAAACACUUCUUUAAAGCUAGAUAGUAUCUGAAAUUUUUAAUGAUUGUGGUGUAUUUGAACAAUGGGAAUCUCUCUGAUA
rnacentral:snoRNA from 1 species